rnacentral:lncRNA from 1 species
GCCAGCCUCUUUAAUUGGACCAUGGAAGGUCACAGGGGACCAGGGCUGGGAACUCAGUCCCAGUUCAACUAGGGACUUCUGGAAGUAUCCCAAUCUUCUGGAAAUCCCGGUGAACCAGGGAAGCUCCAGGCAGGCACCAGUGGAACCAACCUGUGGAUGGAGGCCACUGUGUCCAGGCCAGACCCACCCUGUCAGGGUCGGUGGGAUUUCUCCGAGAGAGACUAUAGGGGUUCACUUGGAGUUGGAGGGUGUUUCUCAGCCCCUCCUCACUCUGGGGAGGCCUGUGGCGAGAGGCACAUGACUCAGUGUUCACUUCCUGAGGCCACUUGGAAUGGACGUCUUAGAAGAUUUGCUCGGGAGCAAAGCGGGAAUUGACUUUUCUGUUUGGAGCUGAGAAACGGGUCCCUUGAGGAUGCCAGAAGCAAGGGGAUCUUCCCAGCCGACCUCCUCCUCUUGCGUUGCUCAUGCAGGCAUUGAACAGUUUCGCUCGUUCCCCAUGGGUCACCCUCGGAGGCAGGCUCUGAAG